CCUGCAUCUCCCUUGUCUCCUGCAUUCCAGGUGGGUUCUUUACCCUCUGAGCCAUCGGGGAAGACGUAAAACCUCCCCAGUUUCCAGUACUUUUGAGUGUAUAUAGUUUCCAUGGCAUUUAAACAAACGAAGAGAAACACAAACUGUUAAUAAUUUACCUAUGCAUUGCUCACAAGGGCUCCUUCUGGGUCAGUGUAAAGAUAAGCCAUCUCCACUAUUUAUGAAGAUCCUAUGCUGAAGCUUUGGGGUAUUUUUUUUUUUUCUUAUAUUAUCUGUGGGACUAGAAAUCUUAUAUGGGCAAUAAAAGUUCUAAACAGUUUCCUUGCCAUGUAGUGAGCUGUAUAUAUCAAAUUGAGUUUAAAAUGUACCCAAGUGAGAUAAAUUGGGUUAGGAUGAAUCUGUUUAGAAGCUUUAUUUCAUUUGAAUUCAGACUCACUAUGAAGUCAGAACAUCACUGGUUUGAUCUAUUUUGGCUUCUAAGACCACAUCCCCAAGUCCCUCAAGACCAUGGCUCGGGGCUCUGUAAGGACCAUCUCCCCUCCCCCACCCCCAUGGUCCCCUGCAGUCUGUGGCAAAUGACAUCGACAGUCCUUUCAACUCAGUUUACCCAGCAUUUAUGGAGCAUCCGGCUGUGUGCUUGGUGGGUUUGGGGAGAUUUUCAAUGGUAUAUAGUGAGAGACCUGUCUUGUAGAACUUGAAGUUAAUAAACUCCGUAUGCUUUAUUGGUUGUCUAAUGUUAUGAAUAAUUGAUUGUUUACAAAGCAGUUCACUUGUCAUUGUCCCAUCAAACCUGCCUUUCCAGGUGUAUUGCCCUAAUCUCAUUAUACAGAGUGGAAACGGAAGCUGGAGAGGUCGAGGAACUCACCUUGAGACGUCAUACAGGGCCAGGAGCGUGCCUGGUUCUCCUGCACUCUCUCUAUCUGAUGCUGCAGCUGGCAUGAUACAUGCUUGGGAGGAGAUAUCUCACAGCCUGCCACAGAUGGGAGAAGGAAUCUCCUUUCUUCAAUGCCAGCCACCCCCACGUAGUGCCCAGAAUGAGCGCAGGCACCAUGGAUUCAAUGACGAUGCAGGAUGCCGUCUGUGCAUCAUGAUCAAGGAAGUAGAGUACAAGGUGAGUUAUAAAAAAGAAAUGAAAAGGGAUGAAAGUGGUUCCAAUGGCCUUGCAAAUAGGACUCAAUCUGUGUUACAGAACCAAUGAGACAAAAAAACCAUGGCUCAUGAAAAUGAUGGAGGAACAAUCUCUCCUGUCCAGGAUAGCAUACACCACCCUCCCCUCGUCACCCCUGAAGCUUAGUCUUCUUUCUGCCCGGUUGCUAGCUUCAGCUGACCCUGUUUUUCUCAGGAUACCUAUGGCCAUGUGAAGUCACUAGAUAUAAAGCUGGAAACCAGAGGCAAUGCCAAACCCUGAGAGGCAUCUCACAAGUGAUGGGUCUAGAAGACCUCUGUUUUCAAUACUGUCAUGCAAUCACGUAUGAAUGGAACCUUCUUGGAAAAUGCCAGUGAAUGCCUUGUUCCCAGACUUAUCAAAGGACUGAACGGACAAUAUAGCAUUCGGGAUCAAGACGAGAAGUUUUCCAUGUUGGAACUCUCUUUCUGGUCUGGGUGACAAGCCACAGUACCUUUGACCUUGUGGACAAAAUGUUAUAUGCCCCUAAAAGUUUUUUUUUUGUUGUUCUUUUUGGUUUUACAUCAUCAUCAGAAUUACUUUCCUAAAGGUUAGCUCAUGGUUAGCUCAUUCCCUCCUUUCAAA